rnacentral:rRNA from 1 species
UGGGGAAUAUUGCACAAUGGGCGCAAGCCUGAUGCAGCCAUGCCGCGUGUAUGAAGAAGGCCUUCGGGUUGUAAAGUACUUUCAGCGGGGAGGAAGGGAGUAAAGUUAAUACCUUUGCUCAUUGACGUUACCCGCAGAAGAAGCACCGGCUAACUCCGUGCCAGCAGCCGCGGUAAUACGGAGGGUGCAAGCGUUAAUCGGAUUUACUGGGCGUAAAGCGCACGCAGGCGGUUUGUUAAGUCAGUUGUGAAAUCCCCGGGCUCAACCUGUGAACUACAUUCGAAACUUGCAUGCUAGAGUCUUGUUGAGGGUGGUAGAAUUCCAGGUGUAGCGGUGAAAUGCGUAGAGAUCUGGAGGAAUACCGGUGGCGAAGGCGGCCCCCUGGACAAAGACUGACGCUCAGGUGCGAAAGCGUGGGGAGCAAACAGG